rnacentral:rRNA from 1 species
UGGCAGGUCAGCAUACUGCCGUGAAUACGUUCCCGGGCCUUGUACACACCGCCCGUCACACCAUGAGAGUUGGGAAUACCCGAAGCCUGUGAGCUAACUUAUAGAGGCAGCAGUCGAAGGUAGAAUCAAUGAUUGGGGUGAAGUCGUAACAAGGUAGC